UGGGGAAUCUUGGACAAUGGGCGCAAGCCUGAUCCAGCCAUGCCGCGUGGAUGAUGAAGGCCUUAGGGUUGUAAAAUCCUUUCGUGGGGGACGAUAAUGACGGUACCCCAAGAAGAAGCUCCGGCUAACUUCGUGCCAGCAGCCGCGGUAAUACGAAGGGGGCUAGCGUUGUUCGGAUUUACUGGGCGUAAAGCGCACGUAGGUGGCGACGUAAGUCGGGUGUGAAAGCCCCGGGCUCAACCUGGGAAUUGCAUUCGAGACUGCAUUGCUGGAGUACGGAAGAGGAGGGCGGAAUUCCCGGUGUAGCGGUGAAAUGCGUAGAUAUCGGGAGGAACAUCAGUGGCGAAGGCGGCCCUCUGGUCCAGUACUGACACUCAAGUGCGAAAGCGUGGGGAGCAAACAGGAUUAGAUACCCAGGUAGUCCCUGAGCGGGCUGGCAAGGCGCAU
rnacentral:rRNA from 1 species